UUAACGCUUUCUCCAGUUUCCCGGUACCAGGAGGGAGCAGGCGUACCCCCCUCGCUCCAGGAGUGCCCCGGCGUCGAGCUACGCUUACCCUCAGAUCCCAGCCCUGGUUACCAGAUCCUGCAGGAGAACCUGUACUAUGGACCCAGGAAGAAUCUCAAAUCUCAGUGAACUCUGUUUCAGGUCCAGUGAGAAGUCAGUGUUGAACACCCCAAGGUUUUAGGCAUAUCACAGCAACCAGGUCAAGAAAUGAACAACACUGAAUUCGUGAGACUGUGGCAUUAACCCUCCACUUCCCUCAAGACUUUAAAGAAGAUUUUGGUGAAAUUUUAGCUGUCAGCAGGUAUGGAGUUAACAUUAUCACUUUUCUCUUGAGUUAGAAGUACAGAAUAAGGUUCUAACAUCAUACUCCUGCUUUUGCACAGGAGUGUCACGUAGUGUGGUACCAUUACUCUAGGUUAUUUACAUACAUUCACACAUUCUGUAAAAGCUGCUUGGUGCUUCACGUUGUUCUAGAAUAGAAACUGUCAUCGGGAGUUCAUUGUAGUUGGUGGCUCCAAAGCCUCCUUGAGCUAAGGUAACAGUGUAAAAGUGUAUCUAUUACAACAUGGUUUCAAUUCUUAUUUUCAACCACCUACACAAGAGGGUGGCAAACCUGCUCACUUCUGUAUAAAGAAAGGAGAUCACAAACAAAGCAGACUCACAUCAUCCUUAUUUUUCAAGGAAGAGUAGGCUUCCUAUUAUUCAAUAAAGAAACUCUAGACACUAAGGCUAGCAGAAUCUACUUCCCUGGCGAGGUCCUGAAAAUCUCUUCAGUGUGCUGUCCCUGAGCAAAAACAGUCAAAGCUGGUGGAUGUCUAAAAUGAUAGGCUGGUGCAAGUUAUUAAUGAAAUAAAAGCCUAACAAUAAAGGACAAACCAGUGUCUGGUAGAAAUAUGUAUAAUUUACUCUACAGUGAAAACAUAAGUAGGUACUUUCCACUGAGUGAAUAUCACCUGAGUAUGACUUCGAAGAGAAAAAAAAAGGUGCUUCAAUAUAUUGUGUUAUCCAAGGAAACAAUUCUAAUCUGAUGUCUCUGGUCCUUUACUGGACAGGAAUAAGGAGAUAAAGGAGAAUUAAAAACGUGUCUUAAAAUGCUGGAGCAGUAAUAGUGACUGGAGCAUUCUUUUUUCAUAUUUUAUAGAUGUUUUCAUUAAAAAAUGUAACAUUAUUAAAUAAAAUUAUGCAAACAUUAACUACAACCUAUGUCUAUCGAAUGACUCAAUUUCUCCCUCAUUCACUGCUUUAACCACAGCAGUACAUUUAAAUGGUAGUGUUCUGGACAAAGCUGAAGAAACCAGUCAUUAACACAAUACCUGUGGAUUCAUAAUGUUAUAUCUUAUCCUGCUUGAGUAAUAACUUUGUAAGGCCUCUAUUAUACAAGAAUAAUUCAGUCUGCACUGGCUAUAUCCUUAUUUCAGUAUUCAAAGAAAGAAAAGAAGGAAUCAGCACAUCACUUCCAGCCCAAGUAACCAUAUUAAUAGACAGCCCAUGUAAAGUCUGUUCUUCUUGUAAAAUUACUAAAAGCCCUGGUUUUGUGGUAUGGCUGUAGUGCACAACAGAGCACCUGUCCAUUGUGCAUCUCCAUGCUCAAGUCCUGACAGAA